rnacentral:lncRNA from 1 species
GUGGGACAAAUGCUUAUUGGUGGCUGAAGGUUCCACAUCUCCUGUGUGGCUGCUUGGUGUCUUUGCUCUGGGACUCUUCAAUCUGAGCCCAAGUCCGUCGAGUGCCACCUCCAGGUCGUUUGCUGUUGGUGAAGAUGUAGUGCUGAAGUCUGAUGAUGUCACCUCACCGUGGGACCGCUCAGAAACUUCGCCCUGUUUUGCCCGGACAUCCAGAGAGACUCUGCGAGGAGAGGAGCACACAGGACGGGGAGGGUCAGCGGGGGCCGUGGAAGCAGACCGCGCCUUCAGGCACAGGAGAUGGUCCCAUCCCCCGGACUGCCUACGGCGCUGAUGGCACACUGCGAUCGGACAGCGCUGAAGGAUGUCACAUCACAUCUGUGUGCCUGGAUCACGAGCUCUAACGGUGAAUCCAUGCACUCAAUGGGUGCGCCUCUCCGUUUUCACUGACUGACUUUUCUAAUCUAUGCUAUUCUCAGAGUAAGAAUAUUUGUUUGCAAAGAUGGAUGUGCCAAAGGCCAAAAAAUAACAAAAAAAUUAAACAUUUAAUUAACUUGAUCUCAGUUCAAAGGGUAGGAAACUGGCAGCGAUCCAAGGAUGCAUUACUUAGGUAAUGUCUUUAAUUUAAUUUGCUUAGCUUUAAUUUUUUUUAAUCUUGAUAAUUGCUCUAUGGUUACUAGUUACAACGUUAUCUUCUAGCUGUGAUAUUUGGUACAGCCCUUGAUUAAGUAUGAUGGUUCCUCUGUAAUAAAGCAAUGGAGCUCAUCUGUUUUUAGCCGGGUGCAUUCAUAGCAAAUCUCCACUCCUGGUGGUGAUGGCACUUGGCUGUUCCCAAAAAGGGGUUUGGGGCUCCUGAUCUGCCUUCCAGUUUCCAACCCAUGAAAUUGAUUUAAAUAAAAUAAAUCACAGAAAGGAAUGAUUAAAGGCCAAGGAAAGACAGAAUGAAGAUAAAAAAAAUUGUUCACUUAAAGUAAAUAUAAGGGAAAUGGCAGUUUAGCACAAAGUACAAAUGGUAUAUACUGUAAUACCUCCAAGUGAGAUGGCAACCAACCAUGUGUAACGUUUCAAUGGUAUCCAUUUGUAAAAGCCGUUGCAAUCAAAGGUCCCUAAAAUUGUACAAUUGUUAAGUUCAUCAGUGCUCUAUACAUGGGAACAGAUGAUUAUUAAUUUUUGGCAAGAAAUUAUCAAAGGACUUGAAAGACUGUGUUGUCAGCAUGAAUAUGGAAUAUGCAUUUCCAAAAGCUGUUCUGGUCACCAACGACUGUGCUGAACUCUACGGGGACCUUUCCAAGACCAUCGCCUUCUCAUUCCCCCAGUUACAAAUACCAACUCUGGGUCUUCCCUUUUUUGUUUUUAAGCCAGGUUAGUAAAUGGAGUGUGUUAAAUAAAUAUAAAGGUAAAAAGGGCUACUGGAGCCCUUGCAGUUACCAGGGUAUACCCAGUAUGAAGGGUAUCCCCUGAAUUAAGAGGCUGCCAAUCUGAAAAUCCAAUGCUAAUCAGCCUUUGAAGAAGUCUUAGUGCAGACAAAUCACGACAGCACGGCCUGUCUCGUGCAUCUCAUUACUUGAAAGAUCUGGAUGUCACCGAGGUUAAAGCACCCAAAUUUUCCACAACAGGUGGAAAGUGGCAAUAGGGCUCUCAGAAGGGGUAGUCCGAAUUGGUGCAGCUCUCUCUCAGCAGAAUAAUCACAUUCUGCGUUCUGUACCCAAAUUGAUCUGAAGAGGCUGCCGUGUCCUCUGUGUGGCCGUAUGCACAGCAGGACCAGAGCGGAAUGCAGAGCACGAGGGCUCUGCUGGAGGGCAGCAGCUGCUGUGUCUCUUUGGGUACCGGUUGUUUGUGCAGUGAAAACAAGACCACUUCAGGUACUUUGUCUGCACUGUGUUCCCGCUCCCCCACCUCAUCCAAUGUGGUCAGAGAACAGAACUGUCGUUUUAGCUUGGAGAAUCCCAGGGGGGUUCUCUAUACUUCGACAUGUUUAUUUUAUGAGAGGAAAAGAUUUCUCAGCAUUUUACGGAAAAAGGGAAAACAGCGUAGGCUGCUGGUUUUCUGUUUUGGAGACUGACAGCCGCUAAAGCCGUUUAACCACAUUCAUGCUAACACACACAGGUAAAACAGUGCAAUCUGAAAAACAGCAUGCAGCUUUGUUAAGCAAAUUUCCAUCGCCCGUAAUUAGUGAGCCUGCAGAACCAUGCAGCAUGACAGAAGUACGUUUCCAGUGACUUGACAACACAACAGAAGUGACUUACUUGUGACCUGCACGUUUUAAGGACCGUUAGCAAUCCCCUAAGCCACCUCACGGUGCCCGGGUGAAGCAGCGCCCACCUCCCGUGCCCACGUCCUCUGCUGCACACCGAUGCCGUUUAGGGCAGAGGCUGGAAGCUCCAAGCCCAGAUGGCGCUGCUGCUGGGACACAGGCAGGCCUGGUGUCCCAGGGAACCCUUCUCCUGCUCUGGGUGGGAGGAGAGGCCAGGAACACUGCCUGCAAGCGGCAUGCCAGCCUCAGUGGGCUGUUCGACUGAUGGGAAGACCAUCUAGACAAGCAGAAGCUUGUAUUUGUUAAACAGGGCCUUUCAAAACACGCCGUAUCUGUGCAGCAUAAGGCUCAGACAAGUGUCUCUGGUCUGCAUCGCAACUCCAGUGGCUCUGGGACAGCAGAGUGCAGCUCUGCAAGAGACCUCAGCAACUGCAGAGGGUUAUGCACAGUGCUGGAGGCUACAGGACUGGGCACGACCCGCUCGUCAUACAGUCAUCGAAAAAGAUACCAAACCCCAUCGUGUGACUAAAUGACGCCCCUCCCGGCACGCGGUACUCACGGCGAUCCCGUGGCUGAAGCCGGAGCCCGGCUGUGGGCUGGCAGCACUUAUGUAGUUGCCGACGCCGGAGUCCUGGCUGGCUGUGCCGUAGAGGUCUGCGACGGGCCCAGGGCUGUUGGCCCCAGGGAAGCCUCCGGGCCGGGCUGGGUUGGAGCCUGCCGGGGAAGCGGGUGCGCCAAAAUUCGGUUGAGCACUGUAGCUAUUCAAGACUGGUGUGCAGAGAAUAAAGCUGGGUAUGAGGCCAGACGCCGGGCAUGCACCGUUAUUACAAAGCCAAACACCAGAAUAAACAGCCUAGGCCCAACUUCUAACACUUAACCAAGGCCAUGCGAUAGGAGAGCAAGUACUGAAUAAUAGUCAGCCCGUACUACUACGAAGCUUAGAGCUCCAAAAUAUAUAUAUGAAUAUAUAUAAAAAAAAAAGAACAAUCAUUCAACACACUACUGCAACCAGAGACUGUAGGUGCUCAUUUUCACCAAAUUAUCACAAAAUAUAAUAGAUAUUUUUCAACAUCUGACUUGAUGCUCAUGCAGUAGUAACAAGUUCUCUAGGUCUGGGCACGCCGAGACAGCAUUCACAUCCCAUGCAAACUACAAAGGAACUAAUUUGAGACUACACAUUGUGGUAAUAUUGAUAUUAAAAUGUUGACAGCAAAUAGCUUCGAUCACAUCUAGUGAAAUCGUUUUGGAUCCAUUUGAUACUUUGGAAAAAAACCCGCCCUUUUAAAUUGGUAAGAUGUAGAAAUAGCUCAUCAAUAGUAGAUUUUUGGUUUUUUUUAAUGGUAUGGAAUGGAACAGUUUGGGUUUAUUCUUUGGGUAUGACCAAGGAGAGUAUUGUUUUAUUUAAUUUGCCUUUCUUUAAAUUUGGAGAUCGAAGACCUACCUUCAUCUCCAAAACCAUGCUGGGGGGACAUCAACCAAAAUUAAACAAAUAAAUAAAGAUCCAAAGCAAAAAAAGAAUUCCAGAGGGUGUAUGGCAACUCACCUCCUAAUGUGGAAGUAAAAGAAAAUUUUAUUUUUUCCUCCCUUCACAUUUUUUUUUUUUUUGAGACAGAAAAACAAUGUAAACAGGAAUGAUACUGAAGAAUAGAUUUGGAUAUUAAAGCAUGUUAGAUGAUCAGGCUUCUGCCAUUCCUCACUGUUGUUCUUGGAUGUGAAGUUUAUGAGUAAGAGGAUUCAAUGCGAAAGAAAAGUCAGUGGCGGGGAGAGCGGAUGGGGAUGGCGCUGGAAGCGGGAGAGGCCUGCCAAGAUGGCGCUGCCAACACGGCACUACUGACCUGGUGCUGCUGACCUGGCUUUGCCGACCUAGUUCUGCCAACACAAUGCUGCUGACCUGACGCUGCCAACACGGC